ACUCCUACGGGAGGCAGCAGUGGGGAAUCUUGGACAAUGGGGGCAACCCUGAUCCAGCCAUGCCGCGUGAGUGAUGAAGGCCUUAGGGUCGUAAAAGCUCUUUCGCCUGUGAAGAUAAUGACGGUAGCAGGUAAAGAAACCCCCGGCUAACUCCGUGCCAGCAGCCGCGGUAAAUACGGGAGGGGGGUUAGCGUUGUUCGGAAUUACUGGGGCGUAAAGCGCACGUAGGCGGACCAGAAAGUUGGGGGUGAAAAUCCCCGGGGGCUCAACCCCGGAACUGCCUCCAAAACUAUUGGUCUAGAGUUCGAGAGAGGUGAGUGGAAUUCCAAGUGUAGAGGUGAAAUUUACGUAGAUAUUUGGAGGAACACCAGUGGCGAAGGCGGCUCACUGGCUCGAUACUGACGCUGAGGUGC
rnacentral:rRNA from 1 species